GAUGCCAUCUGCAAAGAAAUAUUGCAACACACUACUAACAACUAGGAACAGAAUAAGAAAAAAUCAGAAGAAAUUCUAUUGGUCCUUCAAAAUCCACUCAUGUGCUUCAGCCUUAGAAGAUACUCCAUGGAUUUGAGGACUUUCAGAAAUAGAGCUAAGUCUGUAGUCAACUUAAUUUAUUCUCUGACAUGUAUUGCUUCUGACAUCUGCACCAAAAUGCACAUUUAUAUGUUCUGUCCAGAAUAGACAUUGAUCUGCUCAGGGAUACUUUAAUAUAGAGAAAUUGAAUAGAAAAAAAUCUUUAAUCAUAUUGCUUAUUACCCCAGCUGCCUUUUUCUCUCUCCCAGGAUUGGAGAAAUACCCCAUGAAAGAGGUUCAGCAUGACAGCCACCAGAUUGAACCAGACUGCAUUGUGCUCUAAAUACCAGAGCUAAUCUGAAACAAUAAAUUCACACAAAGACAUUUACAUGGCCAUAGAGAGUUGAUAACAAAAUUCCAUUUAUAUUUGCUUGGCAGUUGAAAGACUAGGAGCUAUUUGAAUACAUUUGAAAAGUCCUUUGAAGUAGUUGGGUAUAAGGUUAGUAAAUUCUGCCACAGUUUCUCUUUUAUUUCCAUAACGGUGUACAUAUUCUGAUGACACACAGAGUGUCACAUUUAAUCUAGCUGCUAAGAAACUUAAAAACUAGUCUUAAAGAUAGCAAUUUAAAAUCUGAACUCUGGCUUAUUUCUGUAGGCCUAUCAUACAAUGCUCAAUUUAAGAAUGACUUGAUAUAGAAAAGUAUAGCUUUCUGGUUAGCACCACAUGUUUUGGAAACAUACAGAUCAGGAUUAGAAAUGACCUGCCACUUACUGGCUGUAUGAUGCUAGGCAAGUUUCUUUGUUCACCAGAGGCUCUAUUUCCUCAUCUGUAAAAUGGAAAUAGUAAUAGGAUAUAUGCUGUAUAUAUAAUAAAUGAGUUAACUAUAUAAAGUAUUUAAUAAAACAAUUGGCAAAAAUCAAAUGCCAAAGAAAUAAAUGGUAGUGUUUGUUAUCAGGCUCAAGUUUAAUAUAGAUGGUAAUAGUUAUACUGUGGCAUUUCGGGAUAGACUUUUUGUUUCUCCUACACAAAUUACUUUGAGUAAAUAAUUUAGAUACAUAAACCUUUUUAGUCACUAAGAUACCAUUUACAAAGAAGUGUUGCAACAUACUACUAACAACAUAAUGGGCUGAAAGGAGAAAUGGGCCUUUAAAUGUGUCUUCUGGAUCGGUGUAGUUGAUUAUAUAAGACUAAUCUACUAACAGUUUUCUCACUUUUAGCCACAAAGAGAGAGCCUCCUAUAAUCUUCCUUGUUUAUAACACUUUAAUUUUUCAAUCUCUUAGGAUCAUAAAGGCAUUCUAGUUCCAGUCAAUCUACUGAGUUUGGUUAAUAUGCACAUAAAUCAUCAGCCAUCAGUAAGGAAGGUGACUGCUGGUAGAGCUAAUCCAUCAUCAGGACUAUGAGACAGCUGCUCCUUUUAUAGAGGAAAUAAAAGCAAAUACAGAAAACCUUAAGACUUGAAGGUUUUUGUAUUAUCAAGUCCAUGCACUUUUACCUGUGUGAUAUUUGCAACUUUUGUUUUCUGAUUCUUAGAAUUAUAGUAAUAUAUGUAUUAAUCCUGCUGCUUUGGCCUUUGGAUUUUGGCAUGAUUUCAUUCUUCUUGUAGAAAAAAAUAUAAUCAGUGUCUCUCCACCUAGUUUAUUUCCUUAGAGUUUUGCUGUCUAACAUGGUGUAUACUUUUACUGCUCACCAUGAUUGCAAUCAUUAUAUUAGUAUUGAAAAUACCCAAAGAGUUAGUGACAUACCUUUGGAUGAGAUUAAUAACCAUGUAGGGGGAAGAAUGGAUUGCCAAGCCAUAUACUGAAGUUCAGAGUCUUUACUUUUUACUGUUUAAUUUGGGGAGAACUUUCAAAGAGAUAAGGUUUAAAAUCUGCACUGGAAUUCAGGAAGUAACAUGCGCCUGUCUCUAGGAAACAGAAAUGAGACUGAUGAUAUAAUUUAGAAGUACAUGUGACAUAAGUCACGUGCAAAACAAGGUAGGUGCUUACUUCAAUCAUGACCUUUGAAAAUUUCUCAGUGAUAGUGUGGGAGGCUUUUUUAGGAAUGGAAUUGGAACAAUAUGUGCUUCUUCCCACGAGUAAACUGUGAAAUGAGUGUUUUAAAUGAUUUUUAAUUACAGUUUCUGAGCUCAGUACUUGAAGGUGCCAGUUGAGAUGAAAAGCAUGUAGUUUGUUUAUUUCAUUGUCAGGGUGAGAGUAUGAUUUAUAAAAGAGUUCCUAACUCACAUUAGAAUUCACUUAAACAUUCUGAGAAAAAAAAACUAAAAACAAAAACCGUUGCUAAGUAGGUUUUAGGUAAAAUAUAUUUGAGUAAAAUUUGAGUUCAAGAAAAAUGUAGAUCCUCUCUAAGGAAUUUCUAUCACUAACAGAGCUAUUUAUAUUUAACAUAUUUAAUGACAAGCAAGGUAGGAAAGUUGUUUUGCAGGCCACUUUUUUAUGAAUCAAAAAAGUUAUUUUUUGCUUAAUGAGUGUAAAAAUACUAAAACGUAAUAAUUCCCUCUUACAUAUUUUUCUUACUUACGUUUUUUGUAUUUAUUUAAAAAUUAGGCCAGUGACAAAAGAAAAACAUAACUCAAGUUAAAAAUGAAAUAUAUGUGGCCGGGUGCAGUGGCUCACACCUGUAAUCCCAGCACUUUGGGAGGCUGAGGUGGGUGGAUCACAAGGUCUAGAGAUCGAGACCAUCCUGGCUAACAUGGUGAAACCCUGUCUCUACUAAAAAAAAAAAAAAAAAAAAAAAAAUUAGCCAGGCGUGGUGGCCAGCGCCUGUAGUCCCAGCUACUCGGGAGGCUGAGGCAGAAGAAUCACUUGAACCAGGGAGGUGUAGGUUGCAGUGAGCCAAGAUUGUGCCACUGCACUCCAGCCUGGUGACAGAGUGAGACUCCAUCUCAAAAAAGAAAAAAAUGAUAUAUAUGUUAAUCAAUUGACAUAAAGACGGUUUGACCAUAAGAUUUUGGGUCUUACAUAACUGUGGUGCUUUAAAGUGGCAAUAGAAUUUCUUAUUUGUAUAUAAUUUGAUAUUAAGAAUAUACCAAAGGCAGGAAAAACAAUAAAUAGAACAAAUAGGCAAGUAGAUAAUAUUUUGUGGUGAAAGUUUUGUUAAAGAGUGGGUAGAUUAUGAGACCAAGCCAUAAUGGUCUGUAAGAAUUAUUCAGACUCAACAAGAUAUGUGGAAUUCUUUCACAAAUGGCAUUUAAUAACAUCUGGGCUCCCUGUUAGUUAGGUCUGCCUUAUUUUACCUCAUAUUUGGGUCUUUUUUUUUUCUUUUUUUUUUUUCUUGAGACAAAGUCUCACUUUGUCACCCAGGCUGGAGAGCAGUGGUGCAAUCACAGCUCACUGCAG
rnacentral:tRNA from 10 species